UACAGAGGUCUCAAGCGUUGUUCGGAUUCAUUGGGCGUAAAGAGCUCGUAGGCGGCUCGUCGCGUCGACCGUGAAAACCCGCGGCUUAACUGCGGGCUUGCGGUUGAUACGGGCGGGCUAGAGUUCGGUAGGGGAGAAUGGAAUUCCUGGUGUAGCGGUGGAAUGCGCAGAUAUCAGGAGGAACACCGGUGGCGAAGGCGGGUCUCUGGGCCGAUACUGACGCUGAGGAGCGAAAGCGUGGGGAGCGAACAGG
rnacentral:rRNA from 1 species